GACGAACCGUGCGAACGUUGUUCGGAUUCACUGGGCUUAAAGGGCGCGUAGGCGGCGUGACAAGUCACUUGUGAAAUCUCCGGGCUUAACUCGGAACGGUCAAGUGAUACUGUCGUGCUAGAGUACAGAAGGGGCAACUGGAAUUCUCGGUGUAGCGGUGAAAUGCGUAGAUAUCGAGAGGAACACCUGCGGCGAAGGCGGGUUGCUGGGCUGAUACUGACGCUGAGGCGCGAAAGCCAGGGGAGCGAACGGG
rnacentral:rRNA from 1 species